GCAGGGGAGUCGCAUUUCUUGUAACUGCAAAUGACAAUCAACGAUGAGAAUUCUAUUUAAGUCAGAAGACUUCCCUGUAACGCCACCGAGCGCUCCUUUUACGGUUCUGUUGUCGCCAUUAAGGGAAUAUUUGGAAUGUAUCAAGGAGCCGAUAACCAUAAAGAAUUGCACAAUUUGAUGAAGGCGAAAGUCAUGAUCCAGAGUUGGAAAAAGAUGUCCUCUCUAAGCUACCUGUAAAGCAAAGGCAGCAGGUCUUCCCGGAUUUGGCUGAGGAGGAUAUGAAACUAAUAAAUGUCUUGUUUCAUGAUUGAAGUCAACUACAUUAUAAUCUAUUUUCUAUUGAAUGCCCUUGUUUGAAGUCAAUUAAAAUGUUGUUAAAAAAUUGAGGGAUAAUCAACUGUUGGUGAUUUAACUGUGUUGUGUUACCUAUUUAUGGGUCCCAAUUAAUUCUCAGUUUCUCAUGGGUUUUCUUCA